UACGAAGGGGGCUAGCGUUGCUCGGAAUCACUGGGCGUAAAGGGUGCGUAGGUGGUGAGGUAAGUCGGAUGUGAAAUCUCCGGGCUCAACCCGGAAAUGGCAUUGGAAACUACCUUGCUGGAGGAUUUGAGGGGGGAUUGGAAUACUUGGUGUAGCAGUGAAAUGCGUAGAUAUCAAGUGGAACACCAGUGGCGAAGGCGAAUCCCUGGAAAAUACCUGACACUGAGGCACGAAAGCUAGGGGAGCAAACAGG
rnacentral:rRNA from 1 species